GAUGAACGCUGGCGGCGUGCCUAAUACAUGCAAGUCGAGCGAACAGAUGAGGAGCUUGCUCCUCUGACGUUAGCGGCGGACGGGUGAGUAACACGUGGAUAACCUACCUAUAAUACUGGGAUAACUUCGGGAAACCGGAGCUAAUACCGGAUAAUAUAUUGAACCGCAUGGUUCAAUAGUGAAAGACGGUUUUGCUGUCACUUAUAGAUGGAUCCGCGCCGCAUUAGCUAGUUGGUAAGGUAACGGCUUACCAAGGCAACGAUGCGUAGCCGACCUGAGAGGGUGAUCGGCCACACGGGAACUGAGACACGGUCCAGCUUCCUACGGGAGGCAGCAGUAGGGAAUCUUCCGCAAUGGGCGAAAGCUUGACGGAGCAACGCCGCGUGAGUGAUGGAGGUCUUCGGAUCGUAAACCUCUGUUAUUAGGGAAGAACAAAUGUGUAAGUAACUAUGCACGUCUUGACGGUACCUAAUCGGAAAGCCACGGCUAACUACGUA
rnacentral:rRNA from 1 species